UCAAGAACCGCCGGGCCAAAUGGCGACACCAGAAGCGGGCGUCUGCGGCUGCGAGGCUCCUGCCCGGAGCCAAGAAGCCCCCCAAGAACAGAUGCUGAUCCCCGCGAGCUGCUCCUUGGCCUGGCCGCUCGGGCCGGCUCCGAGAGGCGGCUGUCCUGCCCUCCUGUGCCCUGGCGUGAGGAUCCUGUGAGUGUCCCUGCGCCGCCUGCUCCUGAAAGGAGAGAACACCGAGGACCCAGGACCAGAGGAGGCUCAGCUGGGGAGACCUACCCACACACAGACUGCCUUGAAAACGUCUGCUUUCCCUUCCAUCAUCCUGCCCCCUGGCUGGAGGAUAGGGUGGAAAUGUGACUUCAGUUCCCCAAUUAGACCCAGACAGUGGGCCCUAGGAACCUAACACCCCUCCUCUGGCUCGAGGACCUUGCUCUGCCCCCUCACAGGUCCUGGAGGGAGUUUGGGAGGAGUAUCUGGCAGGAGACACAGUUCUUCCAUAAAAGUCACAGACGUCAGGGCUGCAGCUCUUGGGACUGUCCAAGGCUGGCCAGCUCAGACAACACCCAGCAGGCAUGGUGUUCCCUGCCAGGGCCACCAGAGGUGCGGGUGCUGCCAAGACAGCAGCUGUUGCCUCGCCUCCCAGCAUGCACACUUCUGGCUGUCACCGAGCUCUUUUCCCUGAAUCCCGGCCUUAUCCUUGGCCACGGCACAGUCGGCCUGCGGAGCUCCGCCUUUGCUGGGACAUGCUCAUCUCGCUGGGUUACUGGACCUUUGCCCUCCUUGGCUGAGUGGUUAUUUGUCUUUGUGUGUGAGGCAGCCAGGAUUAAAGUUCCAUCUUCAAGGGACCGGUGGCUAUGUUGCCCUUUUGAUUUUUCUCCUUUCUCUCUAGCUGCUCUUGGGCAGGCCCACCUCCACAGCUGGCUGGUAACUUAUACUAGUAGGUAUCCUUGAGGCUGAGUCUCAGGCACCCCCCUCUCAUCUCCAUUUUCACCCUGGUCUAUCUCUUCCAUUCUCAGCUGCCACAUUUACAUAUCCAGCUCAGGCCCCUCCCCAGAACUAGAUAUUUAUGGCUAACUGACCCUUUGAUUAUUUUACCUGGAAGCCCACAGGCUCUCUAAGUCACCUAGUCCUGGGAAGGCAAGCUCUUCCCCCGUACAUACAAGGUGCAUGAACCAAAGGGCAGGCAAUUACCCUGGCCCCGCCUCUCCCUUACCAACCAGACACAAGCCAACAGCAAGUUGAUCUCAACUUCCAAAAACAAUCCCAGAAUCUACUUUCUCCUCAGCUUCAGUUGCACCAGCCUGAUGAAAACCUCCAUCAUCUCUCACCUUGAUCAUUGCAGCCACCUUCAGUCUUGCCACCUCUAUCCUCUCUGGUUCCUUUUUAAUUCAUUCUGCAUAACCUCUGCAAGUCUGAACCUGCCUCUCCCCUGACUACAGCACUCCAAGGGCUUCCCAUUGCCCCAUGACCCACAGGUUCCAUCAAUUGCAGCCUGGCCUGCCUCUCUGGCAUCAUCUCACACCUCACUGCUCCUUGUACUCUGUAUUUCCCAAGGUCUUCUCCCUCAUGCUGCUUUUUGCCCAUGCUUUUCCCUCUCCACCUGAUCAAUGCCUGUUCAUCAUUUGGAUCUGCAGUCACCCCCUGCCCAGGAAAACUUCCCCUGACUGGAGAUUCCUCAAGCACAAACUCUGUUCUUGCUCCUGUCAACUGCAGUUGUAAGCUUGUUCGUGGGAUGACCUAACCAGGGUCUGUCUUCCUCAUUGGACUCUAUUAGCUCUGUGAGGGCAGGAACCAUCACCAUGGAAUCCCCAGAGAAUAAAGGAAUGACUGCUUAUUGUACUAAAUCAUGUUGGGAUAACAUUACUUUUUUGACAUUAAUUCUCAAUCUCCUUUUGAGAAUAAGUUAUCAAUCCUGAAAAAUGCUUAGGCAAUUUUCUGGUCCACUUCAAUGAGAAUGAACCCUCUUCUGGGAGCCCACUCUGGCAUUUGGGGACCUGAAAUUUUUU